AUUGAACGCUGGCGGCAGGCCUAACACAUGCAAGUCGAACGAGUGGCGGACGGGUGAGUAAUGUCUGGGAAACUGCCUGAUGGAGGGGGAUAACUACUGGAAACGGUAGCUAAUACCGCAUACUAUCGGAUGUACCCAUAUGGGAUUAGCUAGUAGGUGGGGUAACGGCUCACCAAGGCGACGCUCCCUAGCUGGUCUGAGAGGAUGAUCAGCCACACUGGAACUGAGACACGGCCCAGACUCCGACGGGAGGCAGCAGUGGGGAAUAUUGCACAAUGGGCGCAAGCCUGAUGCAGCCAUGCCGCGUGUAUGAAGAAGGCCUUAGGGUUGUAAAGUACUUUCAGCGGGGAGGCGUUACCCGCAGAAGAAGCACCGGCUAACUCCGUGCCAGCAGCCGCGGUAAUAC
rnacentral:rRNA from 1 species